CUUAAAGAAGCAGCACCAAUCACAAAAUAAGCUAGAUAUCUUCUAACAAGAACAAUCACCUUAAGGUAACCUCAUUGAACCUUUCUUUAUAUGUAUCAUCCCAAGCCAAUAGCUUAUAGUUAUUAGUAGUGGAGAACAACAAAACACAACAAAUUUAGCAAUUUUUCUCCACUUCUUCUCUCUUUCUUUGAUCUUCUCAACCUCUUCUUCCAACUUCUCCAAUUUCAUAUCAACACAAUUAUCAUAUUUGGAUUCUUUAGGCUUGUCUACUUUAUGAGAAAUUUCCUCAACAAAUUUAUUCAACUCAACUUUUUCAACUUCAUUAAUCGAUGCAUGAUUAUCAAUAUAUUGAGAAGACUCAAGUAAAUUCUUAAGCUCACCUAAUUUCUCUAUUAGUUUUGGAAUCACAUAUUUGGACCUCGGAUCA
rnacentral:lncRNA from 1 species